CUUCUGUGCUUUUAGGUUACUCCCUCUGGGUGACAGACACCGUUAAAGACGUUCCACUUUUCUGCUGGGACUCGGAAAACUCAAGAUGACUAAAUCAGCAAUAAAAGCUAAAAAGGAAACGAUGACAAACUGCUUAUUGUGACUGGCACUUUUUUCAGCAUUACACCUGCUUAUGUCUGUCUUUUCUGCCUCCCUCUGAUCCUGCAAACAAUCUCUGGUGAUGUAAGAGGGGGAAAAGUGACAACUGGGUUGUUCUGGGUUUCAGCAGGCUUUAUAUACAAAUCUGAAGCGUGCUUCUGCUGGUGACAAGUGUCUGGAUGACUGCUAAUGCAAAAAGGGGCUGAACAGAAAAACAGCUCUUAAAUUCUCAGACAGAGCAGCCAGAGUACUUUGACAUGCAACCAGCUGUGUCACUAAGCAAUAAUGCAAGGAGACUUUAAAAUUUCCAAAAUUUGAAAUAGAAACAUGGAGAAAAUGCCUUGCUCCUGGAACAACCCAAUGCUGAGGUGACUACUGCCAUAGGUUAACUGGAUUUUUCCCUCUGCUGACUGGCUCAUAAAACCCCCCAGCAAGCUCACGUUGCUGACGUGUUGACAAAUGAUGUACCCAGAAGGAUCGGAUCUGGUCACAGAAAUGAAGAUGAUGGGAGAGUGCGCUUGGUCUUCAGCUAAUUGACAACUUGGGAAAGAAACCCAUCC